rnacentral:rRNA from 1 species
AGCCCCGCAAGGGGUAAGUAGAGUGGCAAACGGGUGAGUAACACGUGGGUGACCUGCCUUCGAGUGGGGGAUAACGUCCCGAAAGGGACGCUAAUACCGCAUGACAUCCUGCCUUUGAACAGGCGGAGAUCAAAGCUGGGGAUCGCAAGACCUAGCGCUCAAAGAGGGGCCCGCGCCUGAUUAGCUAGUUGGUGGGGUAAUGGCUCACCAAGGCAACGAUCAGUAUCCGGCCUGAGAGGGCGGACGGACACACUGGGACUGAGACACGGCCCAGACUCCUACGGGAGGCAGCAGUGGGGAAUUGUUCGCAAUGGGCGCAAGCCUGACGACGCAACGCCGCGUGGAGGAUGAAGAUCUUCGGGUCGUAAACUCCUUUCGAUCGAGACGAACGACUUCCGGAUGAACAAUCCGGGAGAGUGACGGUACCGAGAGAAGAAGCCCCGGCUAACUCCGUGCCAGCAGCCGCGGUAAUACGGGGGGGGCAAGCGUUGUUCGGAAUUACUGGGCGUAAAGGGCUCGUAGGCGGCCAACUAAGUCAGACGUGAAAUCCCUCGGCUUAACCGGGGAACUGCGUCUGAUACUGGAUGGCUUGAGUGUGGGAGAGGGAUGCGGAAUUCCAGGUGUAGCGGUGAAAUGCGUAGAUAUCUGGAGGAACACCGGUGGCGAAGGCGGCAUCCUGGACCACGACUGACGCUGAUGAGCGAAAGCCAGGGGAGCAAACGGGAUUAGAUACCCCGGUAGUCCUGGCCCUAAACGAUGAAUGCUUGGUGUGG